rnacentral:rRNA from 1 species
GGAAUAUUGGACAAUGGGCGAAAGCCUGAUCCAGCCAUGCCGCGUGUGUGAAGAAGGUCUUCGGAUUGUAAAGCACUUUAAGUUGGGAGGAAGGGCAUUAACCUAAUACGUUGGUGUCUUGACGUUACCGACAGAAUAAGCACCGGCUAACUCUGUGCCAGCAGCCGCGGUAAUACAGAGGGUGCAAGCGUUAAUCGGAAUUACUGGGCGUAAAGCGCGCGUAGGUGGUUUGUUAAGUUGAAUGUGAAAUCCCCGGGCUCAACCUGGGAACUGCAUCCAAAACUGGCAAGCUAGAGUAUGGUAGAGGGUAGUGGAAUUUCCUGUGUAGCGGUGAAAUGCGUAGAUAUAGGAAGGAACACCAGUGGCGAAGGCGACUACCUGGACUGAUACUGACACUGAGGUGCGAAAGCGUGGGGAGCAAACAGGAUUAGAUACCCGAG